rnacentral:misc_RNA from 1 species
AACCCCUCAAGCUCUGCUUGGUGUUGGGGCCCGCGGUCUCGCGGCCCCUAAAAUCAGUGGCGGUGCCGGUCGGCUCUCAGCGUAGUAAUGCUCUCGCUACAGGGUCGGUCGGUUCCUGCCAGAACCCCAACUUUCUCA